rnacentral:rRNA from 1 species
UACGAGGGGGGCAAGCGUUGUUCGGAAUUAUUGGGCGUAAAGGGUGCGUAGGCGGUUUGGUAAGUCUGAUGUGAAAUCUAUGGGCUCAACUCAUAGUCUGCAUCGGAAACUGCCGGGCUUGAGUGUGGGAGAGGUGAGUGGAAUUCCUGGUGUAGCGGUGAAAUGCGUAGAUAUCAGGAGGAACACCUGUGGCGAAAAGCGGCUCACUGGACCAUAACUGACGCUGAUGCACGAAAGCUAGGGGGAGCAAACAGG